UAGUAAGUCUAUGACAGAGUAGUAAGUCUAUGACAGAGCAGUAAGUCUAUGACAGAGCAGUAAGGUAUUGUGGCUGGAGAAGAGAGUUCCUUCACUUUAAGAUGUGAUUCCUUCUGGCUCCAGAGAGACAUGUUUGUUGUUGAACUGGUGUUUCACAGUGCAGUAAGUCUGUAUUCUAGGGUUAGGUGUUUCACAGUACAGUAAGUCUGUGUUAUAGGGUUAGGUGUUUCACAGUACAGUAAGUCUGUAUUCUAGGGUUAGGUGUUUCACAGUACAGUAAGUCUGUAUUCUAGGGUUAGGUGUUUCACAGUACAGUAAGUCUGUAUUCUAGGGUUAGGUGUUUCACAGUACAGUAAGUCUGUAUUCUAGGGUUAGGUGUUUCACAGUACAGUAAGUCUGUAUUCUAUGGUUAGGUGUUUCACAGUACAGUAAGUCUGUGUUAUAGGGUUAGGUGUUUCACAGUGCAGUAAGUCUGUAUUCUAGGGUUAGGUGUUUCACAGUACAGUAAGUCUGUAUUCUAGGGUUAGGUGUUUCACAGUACAGUAAGUCUGUAUUCUAGGGUUAGGUGUUUCACAGUACAGUAAGUCUGUAUUCUAGGGUUAGGUGUUUCACAGUACAGUAAGUCUGUAUUCUAGGGUUAGGUGUUUCACAGUACAGUAAGUCUGUAUGUUAUAGGGUUAGGUGUUUCACAGUACAGUACGUCUGUAUUCUAGGGUUAGGUGUUUCACAGUACAGUAAGUCUGUAUUCUAGGGUUAGGUGUUUCACAGUACAGUAAGUCUGUAUUCUAGGGUUAGGUGUUUCACAGUGCAGUAAGUCUGUAUUCUAGGGUUAGGUGUUUCACAGUACAGUAAGUCUGUAUUCUAGGGUUAGGUGUUUCACAGUACAGUAAGUCUGUAUUCUAGGGUUAGGUGUUUCACAGUACAGUAAGUCUGUAUUCUAGGGUUAGGUGUUUCACAGUACAGUAAGUCUGUAUUCUAGGGUUAGGUGUUUCACAGUACAGUAAGUCUGUAUGUUAUAGGGUUAGGUGUUUCACAGUACAGUACGUCUGUAUUCUAGGGUUAGGUGUUUCACAGUACAGUAAGUCUGUAUUCUAGGGUUAGGUGUUUCACAGUACAGUAAGUCUGUGUUAUAGGGUUAGGUGUUUCACAGUGCAGUAAGUCUGUAUUCUAGGGUUAGGUGUUUCACAGUGCAGUAGGUCUGUAUUCUAGGGUUAGGUGUUUCACAGUACAGUAAGUCUGUAUUCUAGGGUUAGGUGUUUCACAGUACAGUAAGUCUGUAUUCUAGGGUUAGGUGUUUCACAGUACAGUAAGUCUGUGUUUUAGGGUUAGGUGUUUCACAGUACAGUAAGUCUGUAUUCUAGGGUUAGGUGUUUCACAGUGCAGUAGGUCUCUGUGUUAUAGGGUUAGGUGUUUCACAGUACAGUAAGUCUGUAUUCUAGGGUUAGGUGUUUCACAGUACAGUAAGUCUGUAUGUUAUAGGGUUAGGUGUUUCACAGUACAGUAAGUCUGUAUUCUAGGGUUAGGUGUUUCACAGUGCAGUAGGUCUCUGUGUUAUAGGGUUAGGUGUUUCACAGUACAGUAAGUCUGUAUUCUAGGGUUAGGUGUUUCACAGUACAGUAAGUCUGUAUGUUAUAGGGUUAGGUGUUUCACAGUACAGUAAGUCUGUAUUCUAGGGUUAGGUGUUUCACAGUACAGUAAGUCUGUAUGUUAUAGGGUUAGGUGUUUCACAGUACAGUAAGUCUGUAUUCUAGGGUUAGGUGUUUCACAGUACAGUAAGUCUGUAUUCUAGGGUUAGGUGUUUCACAGUACAGUAAGCCUGUAUUCUAGGGUUAGGUGUUUCACAGUGCAGUAGGUCUGUAUUCUAGGGUUAGGUGUUUCACAGUACAGUAAGUCUGUAUUCUAGGGUUAGGUGUUUCACAGUACAGUAAGUCUGUAUUCUAGGGUUAGGUGUUUCACAGUGCAGUAAGUCUGUAUUCUAGGGUUAGGUGUUUCACAGUACAGUCUGUGUUUUAGGGUUAGGUGUUUCACAGUGCAGUAGGUCUGUAUUCUAGGGUUAGGUGUUUCACAGUACAGUCUGUGUUUGUGUUAUAGGAUUAGGUGUUUCACAGUGCAGUCUGUGUUUUAGGAUUAGGUGUUUCACAGUGCAGUUGGUCUGUAUUCUAGGGUUAGGUGUUUCACAGUACAGUAAGUCUGUAUUCUAGGGUUAGGUGUUUCACAGUACAGUAAGUCUGUAUUCUAGGGUUAGGUGUUUCACAGUACAGUAAGUCUGUGUUUUAGGGUUAGGUGUUUCACAGUGCAGUAGGUCUCUGUUAUAGGGUUAGGUGUUUCACAGUGCAGUAGGUCUGUAUUCUAGGGUUAGGUGUUUCACAGUACAGUAGGUCUGUAUUCUAGGGUUAGGUGUUUCACAGUGCAGUAGGUCUGUAUUCUAGGGUUAGGUGUUUCACAGUGCAGUAGGUCUGUGUUAUAGGGUUAGGUGUUUCACAGUGCAGUAGGUCUGUAUUCUAGGGUUAGGUGUUUCACAGUGCAGUAGGUCUCUGUGUUAUAGGGUUAGGUGUUUCACAGUGCAGUAGGUCUGUAUUCUAGGGUUAGGUGUUUCACAGUGCAGUAGGUCUCUGUGUUAUAGGGUUAGGUGUUUCACAGUACAGUAAGUCUGUGUUAUAGGGUUAGGUGUUUCACAGUACAGUAAGUCUGUGUUAUAGGGUUAGGUCACUUUAUCAGCUGUUAAGGUACAUUUCACUUUAGCUGCCUGUUUUGAUGAAGUCAUACACAGUAGUUGGCUGUUUCUCAAACACACCACUGCAGCUUGGCUUCUGUGUGGAGUGAGUUUGAUCCUGCCAUCACGUUGUUGAGAAGGCCAUAUAAAAGCAUGUUGCCCAGUUUGCGCUGUACUAAGAGUUUGUGGGUUUAGUUUUGUUGUUUUUGUGUGCUUGCUUUUUUCCUGAUUUGAAAUCAAUUGUUUGUGAUCAUAAAAUGCGGUCA